rnacentral:rRNA from 1 species
UGGGGAAUAUUGGUCAAUGGGCGAAAGCCUGAUCCAGCCAUGCCGCGUGUGUGAAGAAGGUCUUCGGAUUGUGAAGCACUUUAAGUUGGGAGGAAGGGCAUUAACCUAAUACGUUAGUGUUUUGACGUUACCGACAGAAUAAGCACCGGCUAACUCUGUGCCAGCAGGGGGGGUAAUACAGAGGGUGCAAGCGUUAAUCGGAAUUACUGGGCGUAAAGCGGGGGGUAGGUGGUUCGUUAAGUUGGAUGUGAAAUCCCCGGGCUCAACCUGGGAGCUGCAUUCAAGACUGUCGAGCUAGAGUAUGGUAGAGGGGUGGUGGAAUUUCCUGUGUAGCGGUGAGGAUGCGUAGAUAUAGGAAGGAACACCAGUGCGAAGGCAACCACCUGGACUGAUACUGACACUAGGUGCGAAAGCGUGGGAGCAAACAGGAUUAGAUAGCCUGGUAGUCCACGCCGUAAACGAUGUCAACUAGCCGUUGGGAGCCUUGAGCUCUUAGUGGCGCGGCUAACGCGUUAAGUUGAGGGCGUGGGAGUACGGGCCGCGAGGUUAGGACUCGAGAUGAAUUGACGGAGCUCGGCACGAGCGGUGGAGCAUGUUGUUUUAGUUCGAA